UCGUGUUGCCAGGCUGCUUUGCAGUUAAACUGCGACAUUAAAAAAUUCAAAUGCAACAAAUUUUUCACUGCAUUUAA
rnacentral:lncRNA from 1 species